rnacentral:misc_RNA from 1 species
GGUGGUGGCUGUGACGCUUUUCAUGUUGAAAACUGUGGUCAGAUACACCACCAGGUUGGUGUAAGAGCCCACGGUGCCCAGCUUCUCAAACGUCUCAUUCCCAAUGAUAUAAGGCAUGGCUUUAAUUCCUGAGUAGUUGAUGACUUCUUCUGCAGGCUUAUCAUUUGUAGCAGUUUUGUCUUCCUUCUUGUUCUCCAUGGAUGU